UACGUAGGGUGCGAGCGUUAUCCGGAUUCACUGGGUUUAAAGGGUGCGUAGGUGGGAAUGGAAGUCAGUGGUGAAAUCUCUGAGCUUAACUCAGAAACUGCCAUUGAUACUAUGUUUCUUGAAUUUUCUGGAGGUCAGCGGAAUAUGUCAUGUAGCGGUGAAAUGCUUAGAUAUGACAUAGAACACCAAUUGCGAAGGCAGCUGGCUACAGGGAUAUUGACACUGAGGCACGAAAGCGUGGGGAUCAAACAGG
rnacentral:rRNA from 1 species